rnacentral:rRNA from 1 species
AUACGAAGGUGGCAAGCGUUAUUCGGAAUUACUGGGCGUAAAGCGUACGUAGGCGGUUCGUUAAGUUAGAUGUGAAAGCCCCGGGCUUAACCUGGGAACUGCAUUUAAAACUGGCGAACUAGAGUUGAGUAGAGGGGAGUGGAAUUUCAGGUGUAGCGGUGAAAUGCGUAGAGAUCUGAAGGAACACCAGUGGCGAAGGCGACUCCCUGGACUCGAACUGACGCUGAGGUACGAAAGCGUGGGUAGCAAACGGGAUUAGAAACCCCAGUAGUCC